ensembl:lncRNA
UCCCCCUCCUUGCUUUUAAGCUUAGAAUGACUUCCCCUAUCCAGAGACUUAAUAAACAUACACUUACACUUUCUUUUUUCUCUUUAUUUUUCCUCUCCUCUUUUUCUCCUCCUCCUUCUUUUUCUUUAGCGUGUGCCUCAAGGCCAGUUAUAAGUAAAACAGAACCACUAACCUAGCCCCAAAUCACUUUGAUCUCUUGGGGGUCUUAGAGACCAAGAAAUACAUGGGAUUGAGGUGGGUUUUUCUAACACACACUCCCCUCCCUUUCCCUCCUACAUAAAAAGCAGUCCAGUGUUGAACUUCCCAAUAAGUGUAUGUAUAUCUGACAAUUCAUAAACUGCUGAAGUGAAAGGUGGCCUUUAGAUAUUCCGUAUAUAAAUUUAGCCAUUUAUAGAGAGGGAAUGAAAAAAAAAAAGUGGCCUGAUUCUGAUCAGAUGCUGCUUGUUUCUCCUUACACCACGGGGUUCUGUUCUAUGUCAUUUCCUUUGAAGUCAGUGGGAGCUCUGUGCAGGACGGCAACACGAACACCGGCCUCCAUACAUGAAGGUGAAAUACUUCCUGCCUCAGUGAAAGCCAGCUCCCAGUGAAUUUCUGUUGGUUUAGAGAGCAACUUGAGGAUUUUGCAUUUGGCACCAUUCAAUUUCCUUGGCAUCUCUCCAUAGUCACCAUUUAGAAAGCUCCUGGUCGGUAGGAUUUCUCUCCAUCAUACACUCUGUAGAGAUUAAAAAAGGAUUGUAUUACAUGGGCUUGGAAAUGUGAUGGAAAAUGAAAUUUGCUUUAGCAAAAAUGGAAGCUUUUGAAACUCAAGUUGUUCUAACAGGACCCUUAGACAGAAAUAGUUUUUAGGGGAGCAAAAUGGCAGAUAUGGUUUAAGUUCCUUAUUUAGAUUGCCACUAAGUAAAUAUCAUGAUGUGUAAAAUCGCUCACUCAAAUAAAGCCAUUUGCAAAACAAUAUGAUUAUAUGUAUGUAUUUAAAAAUAUUGGUGCAUACAUACAUAUAAAGCAAGCUUGGAUUAAGAUCUUAAGAAAGAUUGUGGCUGGGUGCAAUGGCACACGCCUGUAAUCCCAGCACUUUGGGAGGUUAAGGCAGGCGGAUCACCUGAGGUCAGGAGUUUGAGAACAGACUAGCCAAUGUGGCGAAACCCCGUCUCUACUAAAAAUACAAAAAAAAAAAAAAAAAACCACACAAACCCGUCUCUAUUAAAAAUACAAAAAAACAAAACAAAACAAAAAAAACCCCAUCUCUACUAAAAAUACAAAAAAAAAAAAAAAAAUUAGCUGGGUGUGGUGGCAGGCACCUGUAAUUCCAGCUACUCGGGAGGCUGAGGUAGGAGAAUUGCUUGAACCUGGGAGGCGGAGGUUGCAGUGAACCAAGAUCAUGCCAUUGCACUCCAGCCUGGGAGACAAGAGUGAGACUUCAUCUCAAAAAAAAAAGAAAGAGAAAGAAAAAAGAAAAAUCGUAAGCACUAAAGAGCUUAUGAUCCAUAGUAAAUAGUAUUUUACUGUUUAAGAAUUAAAACCAUGUUAAAAUUAAAUAGUAUAAGGAAGUCCCAACAAGCUCUGAUUUUUUUUUAUAUCUAUGCAUAUGUAAAAACACAAAUUUCUUUUUUUUUCCUUUUUUUGACAUGUGUAUAAGAUCUUUAUUAUCAAAAGUUUCUCUAAGAAUUUCACUUUGGUAAUUUUUUUUUCAUAUCACAUUGAAAUUUUAACCACAUUUUCCUCCUUCUAUUUUGUGAAUUACUUAAUAAUGAUUGAAAAACACAAAAUUCUUUAAUUGUUGUUUUUGGUGGGGCCAGGCACAGUGGCACAUGCCUGUAAGUCCAGCUACCUAGGGAGGCCCAGGCAGGAGGAUUGCUUGAGCCCAGCAGUUUGAGAUCAGCCCAGGCAACAUUGUGAAACUCCAUCUUUGGGGUGCUUUAAGCACAUACUUUCAUGUUUCCACUGGGUUUUCUUUAUAUGAAUAUAAAUGCACAAAUAAAUGCCUGGAAAGCAACACACCAAAUCAUUUAUAGUGGUUACAUCUGCAGAGAAGAAUGGGCUGGGGAAUGGGGAGCAUUAGUGAUGAAGAGGUACUUUUAAAUUUUACUCAUUUUUUUCCUAAUCAUCUAUAAUAAAAAUGUAGUCAUUUAUUACAUGCAUAAUGAUUAUAAGGAAUAAAAAUAGCUGGGCAUGGUGGCUCAUGCCUGUAGUCCCAACACUUUGGGAGGCUAACCAGGGAAGAUCACUUGAGCCUAGGAUCAGCCUGGGCAACAUGGCAAGACUGUAUCUCUACAAAAAAUAUAACAAUUAGCUGGGCAUGGUGGGGCAUGCCUGUAGUGCCAGCUACUCAGGAGGCUGAGGUGGGAGGAUCGCUUGAGCUUAGAUGAUUAAGGCUGCAGUGAUUGCGCCACUGCACAUCAGCCUGGGUGACAGAGCAAGAAUAUGUCUCCAAAAAAAAAAAAAAAAAAGAAAGAAAAAAGAAAAAGAAAGGAUAAACAGACUGGGAAAAUGAAAAUGAAAAUGUCUCACUUUUCCUUUUGAUAUCAAAGUUCAAUAUUAAAGAGCUUAUAUUUGAUGAAUAUUAACAUGGGAACCUAGAGGGCAGUGCCAAUUAUGCUCCAAGUUGAACGGAUUGACUUACUAUGCAAUAACAUGGCUAGACUGCUGCCCAUUAUUAUUAUUUUUUUCAGCUAUUGCUGCAAGUCAUCACUGCUAAUGUUCACUGAGCCCUUAUAGUCUGCCAGCCACCAGUUCAGAGUUCUACAUGUAUUAAUUUGUUGAACUCUCACAAAAAUCCUGUGAGGUGGGUAUUAUUAUUAUUGUAAUUUUUAUAGUGAAGAGAUAGAGGUCGGAGAUUAGCUGUCUUGUAUGAGGUGGGUCACACAGCCAGCAAGGGAUGAAACUGAGAUGCGUCACUGGCAGUCUGACUUCAGAUUCUGCAUAGGAAAGAGGAGGGGAGUAGAGCUAAUCUGUGGUUUAAGAUUUUUACUUGAUUUAAUAGUUGGUAUAUAUACUUUUGUCUAAUUGGGAGGUGACUAAAGGCAUCUGGGUCUGGUUGAUGUGUUGGUUGAAAAUUACUAUUAUUAUGAGGAUGGUUAUUAUAGUAUUUAGUAAUUAUGCAGUGCUUUAUACUUCAAAGAGCUAUGCUGUAUAAUCAUUUAUUAGCUAUGUCUCACAACAUCUCUAAGAUAUAAAGAUGCAUUUAUCAUGCAUUUUUUGCAGAAAGAGAAGCUGAGGAAAGGUAAGAUGGCCAGUGUUUUGAUAAAAAAAGGAGUAAGAGUGGAUGGCAACGUCUUAAAUUCCUGAUACUAUAUAAUUCAAUGUGGACAACAGAAAUUUAAUUAAUUUGAGCCUUUUAAAGGAAAGUGUCAGUUCCAAUACUUUUUCGUGAUAUUUAGUUAAAAAUUAAAAAUUAAAAAUACACCAAAGGUUGAUGAUCAUUCCCUUUUAAGUUCUCUAUUUUUGAGCUUUCUCUGCAUUUGUGUCAAUGUGACAUUUUGCUCAAAUUCAACCUUGACAUCUCCCAUUUCUCCACGCAAGCACAAUUUGACUAGAGAUAUUGGUUUUCAAUGUCAAUAUUAUAUGGCUUCAAAUUUCUUCCAUUGUUUGUGAAACCACGUGCAUAGGAUUCGUUAUGAUAACUUUCAAUAGAAACAAACUUCUUGCAAGAACUAUAUGGGAAUUAAAAGAAGUUAUAGACAUCUGGCAGUUUGUCCAUUUCAAAAAUGAAGAUUAUAAACAUGUCAAUAUGACUUGGGGAGGGAGGGGGAAAUGGAUCUAUGUGGGUUUAUUAUAGUGACCUAUAAAAGGCCUGGAAGAGAUUUAUGCAUUCUUCUAUAAAUCUGGUUGUCUCUUUCAGUUGGGAGGCAGUCAUGGCCAUGACACAUGCAAAAGGAUCAAUAAAUAUUAGUUUAGUGGUUAUGAGUGUGUCUCUGGGGACAGACUGCCUGGAUUCUAAUCCUGACCUCAUCAUUUGCUAGCUACCUGAACUAGCUUUGCUUGCGUCUCCAUUCAGGAAAAAAUAAAUUAAAAAAAAAAAAAAAGAAUUAUACCCUAUAGGGCUGUUUGUCAUCAAAUCUAUUUAAAUAAUUGCUAUUUUUCGUCUUUUGUCUUUCCAAGGCUGUUGACAAAUAACAUUAGCUACAACUCCAUUAAAACGUGGUGGAAAUGAUAUUUAUAAUUUGAUGUCUGCACUUGCCUUGCCUGUUUAGAAAUGGUACAACGUGGCCAGGCAUAGUGGCUCACACCUGUAAUCCCAGCACUUUGGGAGGCUGAGGCGGGCAUAUCACCUGAAGUCAGGAGUUAGAGACCAGCCUGGUCCAACAUGGUGAAACCCGGUCUCUACUAAAAAUACAAAAAUUAGCCGGGCGUCGUCGUGGGCACCUGUAAUCCCAGCUACUCGGGAGACUGAGGCAGGAGAAUCACUUGAACCUGGGAGGCAGAGGUUGUAGUGAGCUGAGAUCAUGUUGCUGCACUCCAGGUUAGGCGACAGAAUGAGACUCUGUCUCAAAAAAAAAAAAAAAAAAAAAAAAAAAAAGGUACAAUAUGGUAUCCCACAAUUGCUAUCCCAGUAAAACAAUUUAAAAUUACCUCAAGGCCGGGUGUGGUGGCUCAUGCCUGUAAUCCCAGCACUUUGGGAGGCUGAGGCGGGUGGAUCACGAGGUCAGGAGAUCAAGACCAUCCUGGCUAACAUGGUGAAACUCCGUCUCUACUAAAAAUACAAAAAAUUAGGCGGGCGUGGUGGCAGGCGCCUGUAGUCCCAGCUACUCAGGAGGCUGAGGCAGGAGAAUGGGGUGAACUUGGGAGAUGGAGCUUCCAGUGAGCCAAGAUUGCGCCACUGCACUCCAGCCUGGGCAACAGAGUGAGACUCCAUCUCAAAAAACAAAGAACAAAAAUAAAAUAAAAUUACCUCAAAAUACAUUGAAUAGUUAUGAGCACAUGUAAAAUCUAUAAGGCAAAAUUCCAUACUUGUUUCUUUAAAACAUCCAUAUGAUCCCAUAUAUCAGUGGUCUAUCAUAAAGAUAUCACAUGUGGGUAAGGCCAACUCAUUGCACUAUUUGAAGAGAGAUGCUACCUCUGAGCUAAAUGUCAGAUGUCUGCCAG